UUGAAGGAAGAUGAGCGCUGAGAAAGGGGAAAUGAAGUAAAAUCCACCGUGCCUUUGUGUCAGCAUACUAGGAGAGUUUAAGUUUUGGAAAGCAUUAUGAAGGAUAACUGGCCAGUAAUCAAAGAGCAAUUCCUCAUUUGUUAAUGACUUCACUACUGGACCGAAUGCACAUACUAGCUCUCCAGGAAGAUACGUCCCUCGAGGGCUUACCUCCACCCCUCGGCACUAGGAGAUGGGCCUCCCCAUUCUGUGGAUAAGGAAACCACGGCUCAGGUGGGUUGAGACACUUGCCACAGCCACCUAACUCUCUCUUCUAUGGAAGAGUGCCCUUUGUUGUCUAACAAAUGAACUCAAAUUUAGCAGCUUAAAACGAAUUUACAUAAUCUCACAGUUCUGUAGGUUGAAAGUCACAUCACAGUGUAGCUGGGCGCUCUCUCCUUGCGGUCCCACAAGGCUGAAAUCAAGGUGUUCCCUGGGGCUGAGGUCUUCUCUGAGCUUUGGGAUCCAGGCUCAUGGGGUUUUGGAAUCUGUUUCUUUGCGGGUGUAGAGGCCGUGGAGGCUGGGCGUUCGUGACCGGCGGGAGUGCAUCUUUCAGGUCAUCUGCGAAGGGCUUCCUUCAUUAGGAUAAUCUCCAUUUUGAUGAACACAGAGUCACCUGACUGGUAACCUAAUCACAGAAAUGCUAGCCCCUUACAUUCGUGGGUCUCCUCUCUGUCUAGACAGGGUGUCUACACCAGGACCCUGGAGCUUUGCCAUCCGAGAUAGGAACCAGUGAGCGCUUCUCUUCCAAAACAAGCUUGGCGGGUUUGGAGGGAGUGGAGGUCGAGGUGAAGCUGUAAAAAGCAAAAAAAGGAGAAGAAGGAAAAGAAAAAAUGGCAUCUCAGAUGGGCCACUGGAACAUUUGGAGACGUGCAGACGGGCACUGGUGAAAUGAGCAGCACGAGAAAAGGAGUAAAGGCAAGAAAAUGUGGGGUCUCUGUGGACAACUUUGGCAUGGAGUCUGAUGCAGGGAUGCCGUGUCACUCAGACCUGGUUUCUCUCUCUGUCUCUGGGCUCUGCCUCCCUGGCUCGAAUCCAUUCUCAGGAUGAGUGUCUCCACAAUGUGGCAAGAGGCACAUCCCCUCAAGCACAGGCCCAGCUACACAGCACCUGUUUUUGUCCCAGCCUUCCUUGAAAAGUCUCCUCGACUUGACUGGGUUAGGUACCCAUGCCUGAUAUAAUCUCGUGGCCAUGGCAAUGAGAUUUACUAAUUAGUGUAGGCCCUGACUACAUGCUCUUAAAACACACCAUUAAGAAAAUAAAAAGGCGGUGGAAUUCCCGUUGUGGCGCGGUGGAAAUGAAUCCGACUGGGAUCCAUGAGGUCGAGGGUUUGAUCCCUAGCCUCUCUCAGUGGGUUAAGAAUCCAGCGUUGCGGUGAGCUGUGGUGUAGGUGUCAGACACGGCUCGGAUCUGGCAUUGCUGUGGCCAUGGUGUAGGCCGGCAGCUACAGCUCCGAUUGGACCCCUAGCCUGGGAACCUCCAUAUGCCGUGGGUGCAGCCCUAAAAAGACAAAAAAGACACACACACACAAAAGAAAAGAAAGAGUGGAAGUUUCUUUAUAAACUAAAAAUAUACCCACUCUUUAACCCAGCAAUUCCAUUCCUAAAUAUUUAAGAGAAAUGAAAAUAUGUGUCCAUAAAGAAGCCGUGUGGUAAUUGUCACAGCAGCUUCAUAAAAGCCUAAAACUGGAAGCAGCCCAAGUGGAAAAAUCAGAACAGUGGUCCCCUCAGAAAGUUGAGGAUGGAGAUUGACUGGAAAGGGGCAUAAAGGAACUUUCUGAGGUAAUGGUACUGUCCCACAGAUGGAUAGAAAUUUGGGCUGCGCAGUAUCUGCAAAACCCAGCAUAUGUCGUGAGUUGUGUAUCUUAUUGUAUACAAAUUUUAUAAUGAAAGAAAAAACUUGUAGACAAAUACAAAUAUUGUACUCUAGUCCAAGAUACACAGGUAGAAGGAAAUGUACUGAUGUCUGCAAUUGACUUUGAAAUGCAACAAAAGUAAGAUGGAUUCAUUGCUUGAUGGCGGGCCAGAUGGAUAGAUGUGAGAUAAAGGCAAUGGUAGAACAUUUAAUAGUAGAAUUAAAUGGGGUGGGUUCAUGGGUGUUCGCUACUAAAUUCUUUCCAUUUUGCUCUGUUUGCAAAUGUCGUAAUAAUAUGUUGGAAAAAACAUGACGUAAGUCAUCGCGGGGAGGAGGAAGUCGAGCCGCAGAUCUCAGCCGCAGGGUCCUGAGACCCCGGUGGCCUCAGAGUCCUAGAGCUUGGGAGUGAGUGAAGAGACCAAGGGCAGCGCAGCUGCUCCGAGAAGAAAGGUGGACACAGUGGGAGAAACAGCUCUCGUCCACUCAGAAUGGUGACACAGAAACAGCCUGAGGGUGUUCCCAGGUACCCAUGACUAGUACCCAUGAGGACUCGGGGGUUCGCUCCCUGGCCUCGCUCAGUGGGCUAAGGAUCUGACAUUGCCGAGAGCUGUGGUGUAGCUCACAGACUUGGUUUGAAGCCUGAGUUACUGUGGCUGUGGGGUAGGCUGGCAGCCGCAGGUCCAAUUUGACCCCGAGCCUGAGAACUUCCGCAUGCCUCGGGUGCAGCCCUAAAAAGAGAAAGGAAGGAAGGAAGGAAGGAAGAGAGAGAACCACUUUGUCGAGAGAAGAGGAAUUCGAAUGGGCAGUACUCACAGCAUUCAAGAACACGUGUGCUCUGUUGGUCACGUCCAUCCUCCCUCAUUCUUAACGAAGCCCAGGACAGACUUACCUUCCUUCCUGACAGGACCAACACAAAAUCAUGUAUUUAUUCCUUAUGCUUCUUUCCUUCUGCAUUGAGAGUAAAUAAGGAUAGCUAGGGAUCAUUCCAUUAAACUUUCUUCCUUCCAUCCAUCUUGCCAUCUGUCCAUCCACUUGUCCAUCUGUCUGUCCAUCCAGCCAUCCGUCCUUCCAACAAAGGCUCUUCCUCUGGAUGACCCUUGUCAUCAAUAAUCCAUUGUUACCACGGGAGCAUGGUAUCAGGAAAAAGACAGCUAGGAUGGGGGCUGGAAAUGAAAUCCAAGGAAGAAUGGAAAAGGAGACUUGAUAAUAAUCCAACCAUAAAGAAAGCCUCCAACUGAUAUCUGUGACGGGCACGAGACCUGAGUCAGCAGACAGAAAUGGGCUGGAGUGGUGGUGGGUGGCAGUGAUGAACACAGCAAAGAAUAAAGUAGGUGCAGGGCACGCGUUGCCUGAUAUGAAGGAAAAGGACAGUAACUGUCAGAACAUGUGCUCUAUUUGUUACCCAGAAAUUUCUAGAGAUUCUAAAAUCUUAAGCCUUCUGGUCCCAUAAAUUAGGGACAAAGUUUAAAGCGUGUAUUGUGUCUGGAAGUAUCUGGAAAGGAAGGGGGCCAGGCAGGUGGGCUGCCCUCACCUGGUCACACAGGUGUCCUGCUUCUAUGAGAAACAAGGACUGCCUCGCUGAAAGGAGGGUGCCAUGAAGCAGGAACAUGCGAUGCUUCCAAAGAAAAUUCCACCCCAUAUGGCAGCAGGAAGUAACCUGGCUGCAUUCUUACCAAAAUGUCACUCUUAGUAAAGGGUGUUGCAUCUCUCAGACAACAUCAGUGGCUGUGAUGGCCUCAAGGGUCAGAGACCCUCAAGGCCAGGUGAUGGGUUAUCCUUUCUCAGCCCAAUGCCCGGGACUGGCUCUGACUCCGGGGUGGAACCACAGGCUGCCUUUGUGACGCACAGGUGCCUAGUCCAUGCUUUGCAAUGACAUGUGUCUUUCUGGGUUUUUUUCUUAGCGAUCAUCACAGCUUCCCAAGACUCGGGGCUCAAGAAAAGAGACCUUGACCAGAGGCCUGGGCCUGGCAGCCGCAGCCCCUGCGCUGUCUUUUUUUGUAAUCUUGUAGGAAGAAAUAAAUAGGGCGUACAGAAAGCCGUCCUCCCACUGACCGGGUUUGAUGGAUAGUCUGGCCCAGUUGGGGGGAGAAGAGGGUGUUUUCCUGUUUUUAGAACCUGAGGCUUGCAGGUGAUUCAGAGAGAGAACAAUUGUUGUUUGUUUGUAAAGACAAAAUAGAUAAGCCACAGGGAGAGCAAAGGUGAGCCCAGCAAAUUCAAGGGCCCCUGUGGACUCACUGGUCUGUGAGUUGCUGGCUUUGGCCCUAAAGUUUGAUCCAGGCCUGGGAUCCCCUCCUCCCUCCUUUCUUGUUGACAUUAGUAAAUCAAAAGAGGUGUUACUAAGUUAAAUUAAAAAAAAAAGUAGUGGAAAGAUAUGAUCAGUCUGAUCCCUUUAUGUAAAAACAAACCAAACGUACGGCACACUCAAACCACUCCGUUUAUUUCAAAGGACAAGGACAUGUGCUUGCAAGAGCACAGGGAAAAAAACGCCUGAGGCAGAGGCAGCAAAAUAUUAGCGAUUACCUUUGGAGAAUGACGAGGAAGGAUGAGAUGGGUUGGGGGCGCUGAGAUAGAGGAGCCAAGGGACCGGCCCUCCAAUGAGACUUUAGUCUUACCUAUAAUAGUAGUGUUGUUUUUUUUUUCUUUUAAGUAGUAUGUAUUUGUGCAUUUCUCACGUAAUUAAAAAUCAAUUUUUAAAAAGAUCUUAUUCUUUAGUGUAUAGUGAAAAUAUCAAACUGAGUGAAAACUAUAUUGUAGGUCCGAUAAAAGAAGGAUUUGCCUGUCAUUUGCCCCUCGUUAAUGGUGACGGUAGUGGCGAUGGUGCCAGGGCAUGUUUAGGGGCAUCUUUAUGUUAAACCCUUUACCUGUAUUAUCUCCGUUAAGUUGUCUGACCUUAUGAGUUGGGUGCUAUUAAUUAUCCCCAUUCUGCAGACGAGGAACCUGCAGACGAGGAACCCGGAGCUCAAAGAGCUAAAGGGACCUGCCCAAGGUUACCACAAGUUUAGCGCCUUGCAGAGCUAGGUUUCAAGGCCAUGUCUGUUGGACGUGACAGCCUCAACUUUUAACUACAAUGUUACAGCAUCUGGUAAACAUUUCCCCCCUGCUACUCAGACUCCCUCAUCUUCCAGGAAUGCGCAAAGAAUGGUGGGGGUUGGGGAGGGAGCAGGAAGAAGGAGAAAGGGAGAUGCGGCAGAGAAAAGUGCUGGGACGCUGCGGGGUGACGCCUCAGGAAUCUCAGGGGUUCUCAGCGUUGCCACAGCUGUGACAUAGGUCGAGGCUUCGGCUCAGAUUUGAUCCCUGGCCCAGAAACUGCCGUGUGGUGUGAGUGCAGCUGAAAAAGAAAAAAAAGAAAAAAAAAAAAGAAUCUCAAGGGCCCUUAGCUGGUUGGAAACCUCUGCCAAGUGCCCCAUCUGAGCAGAGGCAGCGUUGCCCAGUAGCUGGGAGUCCAGCUCGAGUCCCAGCUCUGCCGCUUAGUAACUGAGUCACCUUGGACAAGUCCCUUAAGUGUCUGAGCACAGUGUCCUCUCCUGGAAACCAGGGCUGCUCUGUGGAAUGCAUGCAGGCUGCACGCAGAGCCCUCUGGCAAACAGUGGCAAGUGGGUGCUCAGAAGUGCCUGUGGCAUCACCGAUGGGGCCGAGGGCUGGGUCCUAAGGGCUGAGCCAUCAAACUGCAGGUAUUUCCACUCUGUAGCAGAGACCAAGAGGGAGGGGCCAUGUAGCUGGACAGCUGGAAGGUGAUCCCUUCCCAACCAGGCCUACCUCUGUUGCCUGAGGCUUCUGAGAGCAGCGGAGGCGCCCUGAGGACACUCAGUCCAGCUAAGCCUCAGACGGGUAGCACCAUCCUUCAGGAGAGGCAGGCGGUGAAAUUCCCUGGUGGCUCAGUGAGUUAAGGUUCCAGCGUUGUCGCUGCUGUGGCUCCAGUUCCAUCCCUAGCCCCCAGGAACUUCUGCAUGCCAUGGGCGUGGCUGAGCACACACACCAGGGGUCGGGGUGGGGGUAACAGGCAGAGUUUGACAAGCCCUAGCCCUGCAGCAUCUCCCAUCCACCACACAGAAGCACCAAGGGGCUGAGCGGACUCCCUGUGGGAGACCGGGUUAAAGACCGUCCACAUUGCUGACCCCUGGUGUUUGGCUCCUACCAAGUGCUAAUAAGGGAGUCCAAUGAUCCAGCUCGCUCUGACCCUUUGGAGGCCAUAAAGUCAUGCUUUUAGGGACUAUCCUGCAUUGAGUACCAGGCUGGGAAAUCGAGGCAUGUGAUGGCAGAUCUCCUACAGUGUUUUUUGUUUUUAUAGGCAUGACUGUUACAGUGAGAGCCAACAGCAAGCCAGCAGGGCAAAGAUUUUGUUAGCCCGUCUCCCUGUGGAAAUGUCUUGUGGCACAGCAGGUAAAGGAUCCGGCAUUGUCACUGCGGUGGCUUGGAUCACUGCUGUGGCACACGUUCAGUCCCUGCCCAGGAACUGCCACAUGCCACGGGCAUGGCCAACAACAACAAAAAGCCCAAAGCAAAUAAACCCCCAAGCCAGUUUCCCUAUUACAGAAUGGCCUCUUCAUCUGUAUUCUGGUAACUCCUGCUAAAUAACCAAGUACUCCAAAUGUUACCAUUUUAUUUCAUUUUAUUUUAUUUUCAUUUUUUGUCUUUUUUGGGCCACAUCCAUGGCAUGUGGAGAUUCCCAGGCUAGGGGUCAA